rnacentral:rRNA from 1 species
UACAGAGGGUGCAAGCGUUGUUCGGAAUUAUUGGGCGUAAAGCGCGUGUAGGCGGCUUUGCAAGUCGGGUGUGAAAGCCCUCAGCUCAACUGAGGAAGUGCGCCCGAAACUGAGUCGCUAGAGUGUCGGAGGGGAAGGCGGAAUUCCCGGUGUAGAGGUGAAAUUCGUAGAUAUCGGGAGGAACACCAGUGGCGAAAGCGGCCUUCUGGACGAACACUGACGCUGAGACGCGAAAGCGUGGGUAGCAAACAGG